rnacentral:rRNA from 1 species
UGGUGGAGCGAUUUGUCUGCUUAAUUGCGAUAACGAACGAGACUCUGGCCUACUAACUAGAAGACAGUUCUUCGAGACUGUCAUACUUCUUAGAGGGAUAAGGGGAUUGAAGCCCAAGAGAUUGAGCAAUAACA